rnacentral:lncRNA from 1 species
AGGUUAAACUGAAUUCUGUUUCGAAUAGUACUCUCUCCGUUUCAGUUUAGUUGUCGUUUUAAAAUAACUUUUUUUUUUCAAAAUAAGUAUUGUUUUAUAGUUUAAAUGUAAAAUUUACUGAUUUUAUAUUUUAAUAUAUUUUUCUAUUGGUUAAAAUGUGAUCAAAUGUAUUGGUAAUGAUGUUUUUAUUUAGUAAAUAUACAAAAUAAAAUGUUUUAUUAAUCUGUGUGUCCAAGUCUAAAACAAUAAUUAAAAUGAAACGGAAAGAGUAUUGAACCUUUAAAUUUUGGUUUAUUCAAUAACACAUGAGCGAAAUACGUGGUAUGAAAAUAAAACUAAAAUAAAACUAACAGUUGAAUAAUAACAAAUUAGUAGGAAAACA